rnacentral:rRNA from 1 species
AGAAUCAACGCUGGCGGCGUGCCUAACACAUGCAAGUCGAACGCGAAAGCCCCGCAAGGGGUAAGUAGAGUGGCAAACGGGUGAGUAACACGUGGGUGACCUGCCUUCGAGUGGGGGGAUAACGUCCCGAAAGGGACGCUAAUACCGCAUAACAUCCUGCCUUUGAAGAGGUGGAGAUCAAAGCUGGGGACCGCAAGGCCUGGCGUUUGAAGAGGGGCCCGCGCCUGAUUAGCUAGUUGGUGAGGUAAUGGCUCACCAAGGCAACGAUCAGUA